AAUACAUGAAAGAUGGUUGUUGAGCUGGUGGACGAGGACCUAAAAAAGCCAGGUGCAAAAAGAAAUCCUCUUUUGCAGUCCAGAUUUCGUUCAGUAUGAGUAUUGAUACAUAUAAGAAGGAAUGUG